CAGCGGUUCUUGAAGUUGAAGUGACUCUUCCGCACCGUAAGACUGAAGCCGGUAGAUCUUCGAACUUCGAGUGUUUAUGUUCCGGGCUGGGUUAUCAUUCGAAAUAUCGGCAUCCCGUUCCUACCUUACGUUCUUGUUGGUUUUUUUUGUAAUACAUGUACAGUUAGUGAAUUUGUUUUUAUGUUCGUAGUUUAUUUAUGAAGCCUAAGACUUAUAAGUUUGUGACGAAAUAGUGUCAUUAUUGGAUUGUUUUUAAUAUGAAGAGACGGUGCGGCGUUGGAUCAGUACUACUCGAUUUUAAUUGAUGUCGCAAUUAAAAUCAGAGUCAUUAGGGACGCCACGGUUAUUUUAUUCUUCUUUUUCAUCGAGAGACGCCACUUUUCUCUCUGAUGGCUGUUUAGUCACAUUGACAAAUGACGCUUAACUAUUAAACAGUGUUCACGUUGCUACUUCGUGUGUGUCGCUGGUUUAUGUGUAGAAUAGGCAAAAUGUUGUCGACGAGUGUUUUGUGUAUCAA
rnacentral:lncRNA from 1 species